CAGCCAACCACUCAGGUGUCUCCAAAGCUAUUCUGACUGCUGCAGGUUCCACAGUCCAAGCAGAGUUAGCACAAGUGGGUGUGCCAGCAGACUGGAUGUGCACCACAGGGCCCGGUGCACUGGGCUGCAAGGAGAUCGUUCACGUCUGCUUUAA